CUCAAAUUUAAAAUCCUGCCAUAAUGUCUACUAACCAGCCCACUAUAUCUCAAAAUCCUGCCAUAAUGUCUACUAUCCUGCCCACUAUAUCUCAAACUCCUGCCAUAAUGUCUACUAACCAGCCCACUAUAUCUCAAAAUCCUGCCAUAAUGUCUACUAACCAGCCCACUAUAUCUCAAAAUCCUGCCAUAAUGUCGAUCCUGCCCACUAUAUCUCAAACUCAAAAUCCUGACAUAAUGUCUACUAACCAGCCCACUAUAUCUCAAACUCAAAAUCCUGACAUAAUGUCUACUAACCGGCCCACUAUAUCUCAAACUUAAAAUCCUGCCAUAAUGUCU